AUUGAACGCUGGCGGCAUGCCUAACACAUGCAAGUCGAACGCCUGUAGCAAUACAGGAGUGGCAGACGGGUGCAUAACACGUGGGAACCUACCCUUGGGUUCGGAAUAACCGCGGGAAACUGCGGCUAAUACCGGAUACGUCCUCUGGGAGAAAGAUUUAUCGCCCUUGGAGGGGCCCGCGUCGGAUUAGCUAGUUGGUGAGGUAACGGCUCACCAAGGCGACGAUCCGUAGCUGAUCUGAGAGGAUGAUCAGCCACACUGGAACUGAGACACGGUCCAGACUCCUACGGGAGGCAGCAGUGGGGAAUAUUGGACAAUGGGGGAAACCCUGAUCCAGCAAUACCGCGUGUGUGAAGAAGGCCUGCGGGUUGUAAAGCACUUUCAGUUGGGAAGAUAAUGACGUUACCAACAGAAGAAGCACCGGCUAACUCCGUG
rnacentral:rRNA from 1 species